rnacentral:rRNA from 1 species
GAAGCGUCUGGAAAGGCGCGCGAUACAGGGUGACAGCCCCGUACACAAAAGCGCAUGUGUUGUGAGCUCGAUGAGUAGGGCGGGACACGUGGUAUCCUGUCUGAAUAUGGGGGGACCAUCCUCCAAGGCUAAAUACUCCUGACUGACCGAUAGUGAACCAGUACCGUGAGGGAAAGGCGAAAAGAACCCCGGCGAGGGGAGUGAAAAAGAACCUGAAACCGUGUACGUACAAGCAGUGGGAGCACAGGUUUACCUGUGUGACUGCGUACCUUUUGUAUAAUGGGUCAGCGACUUAUAUUCUGUAGCAAGGUUAACCGAAUAGGGGAGCCGGAGGGAAACCGAGUCUUAACCGGGCGUUAAGUUGCAGGGUAUAGACCCGAAACCCGGUGAUCUAGCCAUGGGCAGGUUGAAGGUUGGGUAACACUAACUGGAGGACCGAACCGACUAAUGUUGAAAAAUUAGCGGAUGACCUGUGGCUGGGGGUGAAAGGCCAAUCAAACCGGGAGAUAGCUGGUUCUCCCCGAAAGCUAUUUAGGUAGCGCCUCGUGAAUUCAUCUCCGGGGGUAGAGCACUGUUUCGGCUAGGGGGCCAUCCCGGCUUACCAACCCGAUGCAAACUGCGAAUACCGGAGAAUGUUAUCACGGGAGACACACGGCGGGUGCUAACGUCCGUCGUGAAGAGGGAAACAACCCAGACCGCCAGCUAAGGUCCCAAAGUCAUGGUUAAGUGGGAAACGAUGUGGGAAGGCCCAGACAGCCAGGAUGUUGGCUUAGAAGCAGCCAUCAUUUAAAGAAAGCGUAAUAGCUCACUGGUCGAGUCGGCCUGCGCGGAAGAUGUAACGGGGCUAAACCAUGCACCGAAGCUGCGGCAGCGACGCUUAUGCGUUGUUGGGUAGGGGAGCGUUCUGUAAGCCUGUGAAGGUGUGUCGUGAGGCAUGCUGGAGGUAUCAGAAGUGCGAAUGCUGACAUAAGUAACGAUAAAGCGGGUGAAAAGCCCGCUCGCCGGAAGACCAAGGGUUCCUGUCCAACGUUAAUCGGGGCAGGGUGAGUCGACCCCUAAGGCGAGGCCGAAAGGCGUAGUCGAUGGGAAACGGGUUAAUAUUCCCGUACUUGGUGUUACUGCGAAGGGGGGACGGAGAAGGCUAUGUUGGCCGGGCGACGGUUGUCCCGGUUUAAGCGUGUAGGUGUGUGUUCCAGGUAAAUCCGGUUCACUUUAACACUGAGGCGUGAUGACGAGGCACUACGGUGCUGAAGCAACAAAUGCCCUGCUUCCAGGAAAAGCCUCUAAGCAUCAGGUAACAUCAAAUCGUACCCCAAACCGACACAGGUGGUCAGGUAGAGAAUACCAAGGCGCUUGAGAGAACUCGGGUGAAGGAACUAGGCAAAAUGGUGCCGUAACUUCGGGAGAAGGCACGCUGACAC